ACGGGAGGCAGCAGUGGGGAAUAUUGCACAAUGAGCGCAAGCCUGAUGCAGCGAUGCCGCGUGAGGGAAGAAGGUUUUCGGAUUGUAAACCUCUGUCAUCGGGGACGAUAAUGACUGUAUCCGAGAAGGAAGCUCCGGCUAACUACGUGCCAGCAGCCGCGGUAAUACGUAGGGAGCGAGCGUUGUCCGGAAUUACUGGGUGUAAAGGGAGUGUAGGCGGGACUGUAAGCCAGAUGUGAAAUAUACCGGCUCAACUGGUAGACUGCAUUUGAAACUGCGGUUCUUGAGUGAAGUAGAGGUAAGCGGAAUUCCUAGUGUAGCGGUGAAAUGCGUAGAUAUUAGAAGGAACAUCAGUGGCGAAGGCGGCUUACUGGGCUUUAACUGACGCUGAGGCUCGAAAGCGUGGGGAGUAAACAGGAUUAGAUACCCUGGUA
rnacentral:rRNA from 1 species